GAUGAACGCUGGCGGUAUGCUUAACACAUGCAAGUCGAACGGACUCUUCGGAGUUAGUGGCGGACGGGUGAGUAACGCGUGAGAAUCUGGCUUUGGGUUCGGGACAACCACUGGAAACGGUGGCUAAUACUGGAUGUGCCGAGAGGUAAAAGAGAAAUUGCCUGAAGAUGAGCUCGCGUCUGAUUAGCUAGUUGGUGAGGUAAAGGCUCACCAAGGCAGCGAUCAGUAGCUGGUCUGAGAGGAUGACCAGCCACACUGGGACUGAGACACGGCCCAGACUCCUACGGGAGGCAGCAGUGGGGAAUUUUCCGCAAUGGGCGAAAGCCUGACGGAGCAAUACCGCGUGAGGGAAGAAGGCUCUUGGGUUGUAAACCUCUUUUCUUAGGGAAGAACAAAAUGACGGUACCUAAGGAAUCAGCAUCGGCUAACUCCGUG
rnacentral:rRNA from 1 species